rnacentral:pre_miRNA from 1 species
AGUGGGGUAGCUGGGUCAAAUGGUGAUUCCAUUCCGAGUUUUCCAAGGAAUCUCCAUAUUGCUUUCUAUACUGGUUGCACCAAUUUGUAGCCCCAUGAGCAAU